rnacentral:tRNA from 1 species
GGGGUCGUAGCUCAGUUGGGAGAGCGCCUCGUUCGCAAUGAGGAGGUCGUCGGUUCGAUCCCGUCCGACUCCACCA